GAGUUUGAUCCUGGCUCAGGACGAACGCUGGCGGCGUGCCUAAUACAUGCAAGUAGAACGCUGAAGGAGGAGCUUGCUYUUCUGGAUGAGUUGCGAACGGGUGAGUAACGCGUAGGUAACCUGCCUGGUAGCGGGGGAUAACUAUUGGAAACGAUAGCUAAUACCGCAUAACAGUAGAUGUUGCAUGACAUUUGCUUAAAAGGUGCAAUUGCAUCACUACCAGAUGGACCUGCGUUGUAUUAGCUAGUUGGUGGGGUAACGGCUCACCAAGGCGACGAUACAUAGCCGACCUGAGAGGGUGAUCGGCCACACUGGGACUGAGACACGGCCCAGACUCCUACGGGAGGCAGCAGUAGGGAAUYUUCGGCAAUGGACGGAAGUCUGACCGAGCAACGCCGCGUGAGUGAAGAAGGUUUUCGGAUCGUAAAGCUCUGUUGUAAGAGAAGAACGAGUGUGAGAGUGGAAAGUCACACUGUGACGGAUCUACAGAAAAUUCCC
rnacentral:rRNA from 1 species